GCGCUCACUUCAGCAGCACAUACACUAAAAUUGGAACAAUAUAGAGAUUAGCAUGGUCCCUGCACAAGGAUGACAUGCAAACUGGGGAAGUGUUCCACUUUAAA